CUGUUACUACUGUUCUCUGUUAUACAUGAUAUUUCCUUCCAUCGAAAUUCAAUAUGGUUGUUGAUUAACUACAGCAUAUCUUCAUUAUGUUUAAAGAAAUGACAUGUACAUGUACUGCAUAAGGCUUCAAAAAUUUGGUUUUUUUGCUUGCUCAGAAGUGAUAUUUAAACAUUAUUUUGGCAAACACAUAGUUUCACAAUCUUGUAUGGAAUGUUUUUACAAUUCUAAAUUACAAAACUAGCAGUAGAAAUUUUGUUUGCUUUGACAAAAUCAGUAAGCCACAACUGCUUAAUGCAAAAUUAACUUUCCAAACUGUAUCAUACAUAUUUGUAUAAUUGACAUCAUUCAAGAGAAAUGCUGAUUUAAAGAACAAAUAUUUUAAAUGUAAUGUACAUGCUGGUUUCUUUCUUUUUUCUUAUUAAGGAAGGAGUCUUCUCAUUAUCAAACAUACUUCUUAUAAUAAGAAAUUCAUGAAAUUUUGACACAGUAAAACAGAUCAUAUAACCAAAUGAUUCUAUCAGUUUAAUCAAAUUUGACCUCCUUGUUUUUGCAUAAAGGUCAGGUCAAGGUCAUUAACUUUUUCUUCAACUUAAAGGAGGAAAAAAAUAAAUGUAGUUCUUUGCAGUUAUGUAGUCAUCUAAUUAAGACAUGAAGAUUCUAUUCUUUAAUGAAAUGAUAGAGUAUCAGAAUGUCUAUCAGGUUACACUACUAAAUUGGAAUAAAUAUUUAAACUAAAAUUGAUAUUGCUAAGCCCGCAUUUCAUCUAAUUUUCUUAAAUUUUGAAGGUAUUUUGAUUAUUUUUUUUAUGCUUCCAAUAUUAAGAUAUUUCUGAUUUUUACAUAUUAUAAAGACCUUACAUAAAGAUAUAAAUUGACAGAAAAUCUAAUAUAUUGACCAUUUUAUAAGAGAGAAAAACUUAUUUUAGUGAUUUUUUCACACAAAUCAAUGUAUAGAAUGGACGCUUUAAAAAGCUUAUAAAAAUGCAAUUUGAAAAGCAAAUCAUAUUUUAAAAACAUAUUCUGAAGCUCAAGUAUCAUAUUAAUAGUUCACAGUCCAACAUUAAUGUUAUUGUUUUUAAAAAUGCUAAAACUGCAGACAUGCGAAACAUGUGAUAUUUUCCUACGCCAAUAUUCCGCCAAAAAUAUAGUCCUUAAUUUGUUAGAUUCUGAACAAUGAUUCCUAUUUCUAUGCCAAGUUGUAUGAUAAAAAAAAGAAAAAUAUACUAUUUUAAUUUCCUUCCAUCUUCAUUUACUGAACAAUUACACAAAUUUCCGUUUGACAAGUCGAAAACCAGAAAAGACUCCUUCCUUAAAUACCAAGUUUUUGAUAAAUUCAAUUCUGUACAUUGUUGUACCAGUGUCAUAACAAAAAGCAUUUCUGAAUCAACAGUUAUUUCUUUGAUACGUACAUGUAUAUAAAUGACAUCUUGAUUUGACAAUUGGACGUGUUUGUUUAAUAUUUUUUUACAGUACCAAGUUUUGGUAAAUUUGAUUGUUUACAAUGCAGUAACUGUAUCGUUUAUUGAAAAAUCAGUAAUGGUUCUUGUCACAUUAAUUUAUAAUUUUAUACAUGCAUUGAUUUUUCUGUAGUUACAAAUACCUGUUCCAGUACUUGUUAUUUUGAAAAAGUUUAUAAUGCAGUAUUUUUAACAUCUCAACAUUUACAUGUACCAGUAAAUGGAUGAAUGCACUGUUAUUACUCCAAAAGAUAUUGUUUUUAUUGGAAAAAAAACAUGAUAAAGCCUGUAUUUAUUGUUAUAUUCUGCUUCAGAGUUUUCCUAGAAUGAAUUAUUUUAAUACUACCAUUCUGCUGAUUUGUUCUUAUAUCUGCCAUCAUAAGCAAUUAAAGCAAGGAAAUCUGAGACUC
rnacentral:sRNA from 1 species